rnacentral:rRNA from 1 species
AACGAACGCUGGCGGCAGGCCUAACACAUGCAAGUCGAACGAAUCCUUCGGGCUUAGUGGCGCACGGGGGGGUAACGCGUGGGAACAUGCCCUUAGGUUCGGAAGAACUCGCGGAAAGAGGUGCUAAUACCGGAUCUUAUCUUCGGACCAAAGAUUUCUCGACAUUGGAUGGGCCCGCGUCGGAUUAGCUAGUUGGUAGGGUAAAAGCCUACCAAGGCGACGAUCCAUAGCUGGUCUGAGAGGAUGACCAGCCACACUGGGACUGAGACACGGCCCAGACUCCUACGGGAGGCAGCAGUGGGGAAUAUUGGACAAUGGGCGAAAGCCUGAUGCACCAAUGCCGCGUGAGUGAUGAAGGUCUUAGGGUUGUAAAGUUCUUUUAUCCGGGACGAUAAUGACGGUACCGGCAGAAUAAGCUCCGGCUAACUUCGUG